rnacentral:rRNA from 1 species
UUGAACGUUGGCGGCAGGCCUUAUACAUGCAAGUCGAGCGGAAACGAUGGGAGCUUGCUCCCAGGCGUCGAGCGGCGGACGGGUGAGUAACGCGUAGGAAUCUACCCAGUAGCGGGGGAUAGCCCGGGGAAACUCGGAUUAAUACCGCAUACGCCCCACGGGGGAAAGGCCGGGAUCUUCGGACCGGUCACUAUUGGAGGAGCCUGCGUUAGAUUAGCUAGUUGGUAGGGUAAUGGCCUACCAAGGCGACGAUCUAUAGCUGGUCUGAGAGGACGAUCAGCCACACUGGAACUGAGACACGGUCCAGACUCCUACGGGAGGCAGCAGUAGGGAAUAUUGCACAAUGGGCGAAAGCCUGAUGCAGCCAUGCCGCGUGUGUGAAGAAGGCCUUAGGGUUGUAAAGCACUUUCAGUGAGGAGGAAAGGAUGUAGCUUAAUACGCUGCAGCUGUGACGUUACCCACAGAAGAAGGACCGGCUAACUCCGUGCCAGCAGCCGCGGUAAUACGGAGGGUCCAAGCGUUAAUCGGAAUUACUGGGCGUAAAGCGUGCGUAGGCGGUUUGUUAAGUGGAAUGUGAAAGCCCCGGGCUCAACCUGGGAACUGCAUCCCAAACUGGCAAACUAGAGUGCGGAAGAGGAGUGUGGAAUUUCCUGUGUAGCGGUGAAAUGCGUAGAUAUAGGAAGGAACACCAGUGGCGAAGGCGACACUCUGGUCUGACACUGACGCUGAGGUACGAAAAGCGUGGGGAGCAAACAGGAUUAGAUACCCUGGUAGUCCACGCCGUAAACGAUGUCAACUAGCCGUUGGGUCCCUUGAGGACUUAGUGGCGCAGCUAACGCAAUAAGUUGACCGCCUGGGGAGUACGGUCGCAAAAUUAAAACUCAAAUGAAUUGACGGGGGCCCGCACAAGCGGUGGAGCAUUUGGUUUAAUUCGAUGCAACGCGAAGAACCUUACCUGGUCUUGACAUCCUACGAACUUUCCAGAGAUGGAUUGGUGCCUUCGGGAACGUAGUGACAGGUGCUGCAUGGCUGUCGUCAGCUCGUGUUGUGAAAUGUUGGGUUAAGUCCCGUAACGAGCGCAACCCUUAUCCUUAUUUGCCAGCACGUAAUGGUGGGAACUCUAGGGAGACUACCGGUGAUAAACCGGAGGAAGGCGGGGACGACGUCAAGUCAUCAUGGCCCUUACGACCAGGGCUACACACGUGCUACAAUGGGAAGGACAAAGGGUCGCUAAGCCGCGAGGUGGUGCUAAUCUCACAAAUCUUUUCGUAGUCCGGAUUGGAGUCUGCAACUCGACUCCAUGAAGUCGGAAUCGCUAGUAAUCGUAGAUCAGAACGCUACGGUGAAUACGUUCCCGGGUCUUGUACACACCGCCCGUCA